rnacentral:rRNA from 1 species
AGAGAGAGACAUGCGCGCAUAUCAAUAAGCGGAGGAAAAGAAACUAACAAGGAUUCCCCUAGUAACGGCGAGUGAAGCGGGAAGAGCUCAAAUUUGAAAUCUUAAAGGGUUUCCCUUUACGAAUUGUAGUUUAAAGAAGUGUUUUCUGUUGAGGUUUUGGUAAAAGUUCUUUGGAAUAGGACAUCAUAGAGGGUGAGAAUCCCGUAUUUGACCUUUACUUUCAACUUUGUGAUACACUUUCAAAGAGUCGGAUUGUUUGGGAAUGCAGUCCAAAAUGGGUGGUAAAUUUCAUCUAAAGCUAAAUAUUGGCGAGAGACCGAUAGCGAACAAGUACCGUGAGGGAAAGAUGAAAAGAACUUUGAAAAGAGAGUUAAACAGUACGUGAAAUUGUCAAGAGGGAAGCGUUUGACACCAGUGUUGUUUUUCUGAAAAUCAAUUAAAGAACUGUUUAUGCUAAGCUGUUUAGACUUUAUCAGCUAUCUGUUUAGUUUUGAGCUUUUCUUUAAUGCACUUUUCAGUUAACAAGUCAACAUCAAUUUCUUUUGCUGUAAAAAAGCUUGAGGAAGGUGGCUUGAGAUUCGUCUUAAGUGUUUAUAGCCUCUUGCCUAUGCAGUCGGAGAGAUUGAGGUCUGCAGCGUAGAUCCUUCGGGGCUAAAUGCAUUUGUGCUAAGUUAUAGCAUUUUAUAGACAACUUGUUGACUAUGAUUUGUCUUGUAGCUUACUCGCUUAUGUUAUUUUACCUACGCUUAGGAUGUUGACGCAUGAGAUAUACGC